rnacentral:rRNA from 1 species
GAUGAACGCUGGCGGCGUGCCUAAUACAUGCCAGUCGAGCGAACAGACGAGGAGCUUGCUCCUCUGACGUUAGCGGCGGACGGGUGAGUAACACGUGGAUAACCUACCUAUAAUACUGGGAUAACUUCGGGAAACCGGAGCUAAUACCGGAUAAUAUAUUGAACCGCAUGGUUCAAUAGUGAAAGACGGUUUUGCUGUCACUUAUAGAUGGAUCCGCGCCGCCUUAGCUGGUUGGUAAGGUAACGGCUUACCAAGGCGACGAUGCGUAGCCGACCUGAGAGGGUGAUCGGCCACACUGGAACUGAGACACGGUCCAGACUCCUACGGGAGGCAGCAGUAGGGAAUCUUCCGCAAUGGGCGAAAGCUUGACGGAGCAACGCCGAGUGAGUGAUGAAGGUCUUCGGAUCGUAAAACUCUGUUAUUAGGGAAGAACAAAUGUGUAAGUAACUAUGCACGUCUUGACGGUACCUAAUCAGAAAGCCACGGCUAACUACGUG